rnacentral:lncRNA from 1 species
CAAUAUAUUUAUAUUAUAUUCUGUCGUUAUAUUAUUAUUUAAUAAUGUAAUUCUCACCCCUUCUGCAUGUGUUUAUGUUCAUCUAUGAUGAGCAAUGUGCAGAUAAAGAGGAGUAGCUUUGUUGAGGUCUGAAGAAUAAGUGUAGAGUUAUUCUACAGAGUCGAGUCAAAUGCUCUGGUCAUGUGACACCGGGGUUAUGGGAUUCGAUAGAUAAUUAGUUAUUAUUUACGUUGUUUAUGAUGACUAGUAUGUUGAGAUAAUGUUGAAACAUUACUAUGAAUUAUUAUAUGAUGAAAAAUUAUAUUUGUGUUGUUGUCCGCUGCGAAGUUUUAUUAAAAUCAAUAAUAUGUUUUAUAAUGAGAUGUGAUAAAUGUUGAAUUGAAA